ensembl:snoRNA
CGGACCAGUGAUGAAUAUCGUGGGGUUUCUGAAAUGAGAAUUUUGAUUAAACCCAUCUGCAAUUCUGAGGUCCAU